UUCUCUAGCAAACCCUAGACGCCACAUCUUCUCUUAGAAUCUAUCUCCACAUCUUCAUCUUCCCAAUCAAUCUUGGUGUUACUAGAGAUGGUUUUGUUGUGGAAGCCCUGUAAAUCCUAACCCGAUCCUAUGAACAAUCUGUAUCCAUAUAUAAAGCCUUUUUAUUUUCUUGAUCUGAGACAAAACCCUAAUCUCCUACAUCUUCUUGGCCGCUUCAUCUAGAUAUUCACACCGAUCAUCCUCUUCAAUCGUACAGCAAACUGCGAUGGCAUUUGAUGGUCGCUUUCUUUGUUCAUGUCUGGGUUCUGAAUCUAGAAAGUUUGUUGCAGGAUUGAAGAUCCUUCAUUUUCUGCAUGUUCUGGGUUUGAAGAUAUAUCUCUUCGCAGGUGUGUUAUUGAUUGUUGGUUUUACUAGAAUUGCGAAUUAAAUCUCUGAUUGUUUGUAUUUUUCUUUACGGAUAAGUUACCUUUUGGGUAUCAUUGCUGUUGUUAUUCGAUCUUUGUGGUAUUCUGUGGGUUAUAACAGAGAUAACGGUUAGGGUUUGUGAUGGUGGUGGUGUCGGCUACAGUAGAGGCGAGGAAAGGCUUUCUUUUCUGUGUGUGUUUUUGGAGAGAUCUUGACAGCCAAAGCAGACUGUAUGUAAUAUCAUAAUGUUUUCUCAGGGGUUAUCUUUCAUGUCUACAUGCACAAUAGAGGAGGUUUCUUCCAGUUCCGAUGUUGUUCGAUUCUUUGAGUUAUAUAAUGUGGGUUCAAAUCUUGAAGCUUCUGUAUCCAGGAACUUUGAUCCUUCUUUAUCUUGGAAGAACAUUGCUUGGUUAAAGUCCAUUACAAAAAUGCCAAUAAUGGUCAAUUGUGUACUCACCCGGGAAGAAGCUAUGGAAGUAGGAGUUGAAGGAAUCAUAUUGUCUAACCAUGGAGCUCACCAGUUAGAUUAUGUUCCUACCACCAUUGCGGUUAUCGAAGAGUGGUAGGUGCAGUUUAAGGAAGAGUACCAGUGAUGGAGGAAUAAGUCGAGGAAUGGAUGUAUUCAAAGCUGAUCGCUCUGGAUACACAUGCAGUUAUGAUCGUGGAAACAUUUUUAGCCAUGUGUAUGCAGCUGGUAGAAAUAUGCUGGUCCAGGUGAUGUUGUCAAUGUAUAUAUUAAUUAAUAAAAGAAGUUUGCUUUUGUGGGGAUGAGAUCCAUUGAGUAAGCCAGUAAUGCAGUGGCUUUGGAUGGCAUUAUACUUGAGUGGUUGGUGAAAAGAUUUAAUAUUAUACAAUUGAUAUAGCAGCAUGUGAAAGUGCCUUCAAGCAACUUCUUACAGACGAUAACUACACCAGAAUAUGUCAACAUGUAGCAAUUCCUAUUAAUAGGGUGUACACGGGACCAAAUGGAUCAUUACUUGGUUAAUCAGAAGUCUAUAGUUUUGUUUAGGUUUAUUCCUGUUAUUUUUUACCUUGCAUAGGUGUCGCUUUCUUCAAGCAUAUUGUUUAGAUAUAUACAUACAACCCAUCAGGGGAGUUAACUGAAAAUAUGUAUUCAGGUUCGAAUAUUAAUAAUAAAUGGGUCUGGGUUCCUCGGGUUCUUUCUUUUUA